GGUGGCGCUUCCUGUCUCUCUGCGCCAGCCUCGGCCUGCGACGGGGCAGAGCGCGGGAAACGGCCUUAAACCGCUUUAGGAACUGGGGGUGAAAGUUAAUCGGCGACAUCUGAGAGGUUUGCCCGCAAAUCGAAACAAAACUGCCCCUACUACCUCUAUGCCAGCCUGUGCACCGUCUCACUGUGAACCCCUGAAAAUGACUUUCUGCAGAGCGUUUAGCAAAUGCCUGAAAUGAUGAUUUUGCCAUAAACCUGAGAGUUUGACCAGACACGCGUCUGGAUUGAUACAUUGAAAGCAGUAAAGUGGGGGAGUGAAAUAAAAACAAAAGCCCUCGCGAAAUCCUAGCCUUGUGGUCAAACCGCUUUUGGAGACAGGUCGGCCCACUGAAACAAAACAGUAGACGGGCAGGAAGCUACCCUGAGUGUCCCAUGUCUGGGCGUGCCGCCACCCUCAUUUCUCACGAAAUCCUGGCCAGACGUUCUUCGCUGAGAGUCGCCGCGGUUUCCUGCUUCAACAGUGCUUGGAUGGAACCCAGCGCUCAUCCCCCACCCAGGCCGGCCGCCCACAGCCAGUCCUCUGUCACCUCCACACGGCGUCCUCGGACUGCCCCAAGGACCCCGCCGCCUCUCCAGCGCCGCGCAGCCACCGCCACCGCCGCUUCUCCUUAGCAGCCGCCUUGACGACCGCAUCACCUUCGCAGGUGCACCAGAACUACCACCAGGAUUCAGAGGCCGCCAUCAACCGCCAGAUCAACCUGGAGCUCUACGCCUGGUAUGUUUACCUGUCCAUGUCUUACUACUUUGAUCGCGAUGAUGUGGCUUUGAAGAACUUUGCCAAGUACUUUCUUCACCAAUCUCAUGAGGAGAGGGAGCAUGACGAGAAACUGAUGAAGCUGCAGAACCAACGAGGUGCCGCAUCUUCCUUCAGGAUAUCAAGAAACCAGACCAUGAUGACUGCGAGAGCGGGCUGAAUGCGAUGGAGUGUGCAUUACAUUUGGAAAAAAAAUGUGAAUCAGUCACUACUGGAACUGCACAAACUGGCCACUGACAAAAAUGACCCCCAUUUGCGUGACUUCAUUGAGACACAUUACCUGAAUGAGCAGGUGAAAUCCAUCAAAGAAUUGGGUGACCACGUGACCAAGUUGCACAAGAUGGGAGCACCCCAGUCUGGCUUGGCAGAAUAUCUCUUUGACAAGCACACCCUGGGAGACAGUGAUAAUGAAAGCUAAGCCUUAGGCUAAUUUCCCCAUAGCCACGGGGUGACUUCCCUGGUCACCAAGGCAGUGCAUGCAUAUUGGGGUUUCCUUUACCUUUUCUAUAAGUUGUACCAAAACAUCCACUUAAGUUCUUUGUACCAUUCCUUCAAAUAAAGAAAUUUGGUACCC